UGCAAGGGGGAAACAGACCGGGCUUGUGU
rnacentral:piRNA from 1 species